ACACGGGCUAAAUGCAUAAUAGCGCGUAAGCGUCGCCUCUUAUGGCACAUGGCCGGAGCGCGUAAGCGAGAAGCCGGGUGCGUUCCCGGUUCCUCCUCGCGGAGCUGCUGCACGCGGUCUCCUCCGACCUGUGUCACCCUGAACAUGUACAUGCACGAUCCGCGCAUCUUCAUCUGGGAGGAAACACGCAAGUCCAUCAGCAGAACGAGAUGUUGAAAGAAAAAGAGAAGAAAUUCAUGUUUGCCUUUUCCACUCCGCUGAAGUCUGCAAUGUGGGUCAACAGUCGGUGUGACUCAUCUCAUGGGCUCAUAAUGAACCGGCUCACAAUAUUUGUUCCUUUCUAAGGUGAUAACGGCCAUUGCUACAUCUGCAUAUAUGGACAACUUUUAAAACAAGCACAAGACCAUCCACAUGCUUUAUAGGAGCAUGUUUUAUGCUAAGAAGGAUGUGUACAUUUAGAAACUAAAUAACACUACUGUAUUUAUUUAUCAUAAGAAGUCUGUUAAUCAUUCCACAGUUAAUCUGUGCAAUUUCCCUCCAUGUCAACAAUUGUACAAAUUUGGAUUUGCAAAACAGGAGCCAACAACUGGUUGAGAGAUGGUAGAUGUUAGUUAUGAUGUUGUUAUUGUUAUUGAUGUGACCGACCUAAAUGUGAUUCUGUGUUCUUACUGAUAAAAGAAAAACAACCUGAACAGAAGCUAAUAGAAUUUCCUUCUUCUCCUAUGAGUCCUAAUGCCAGCAUGCUCACUGUUGUCUUUUAGCUGAUCUGUAUGCUAAAAUCAGCGCUAAACACAAAUUAGCCCAUAAUUAGGUUGUUAUUCAAACAUUUCACUAAAAAGACCCAAACGUGACACUGAUCGACCAGGACACCAGCUACUAAGCUGUCGGUACAUAAUGAUAAUCACACUGUAUUGACUUAUGUCUGACUUAUGUCUGAUAAUAAAUGUGUUGUUCCAUCAGGACCUAUGAUCAUUCAGUCUUGGUACUGUGUGUUACAGGACAAAUUCAUCUCAGUGUCCCGUACUCUUUAUUCUGGAUGUUUGUGUUGCAUAUAAAAGUUUUACUAUUAAUAGAUUGAGCUAAUGAAGAGUGAAGAGAUAAUGGGACACAUGAAAAUCAGAAACCCUUAAGUGCAUGUUCUCAAUGCGAAGAAUGGAGCUUCUCAUAAUGGAGACGGCGCGUUUUAGUCCUCUGAGUGUGAGCCGCACUUUUGAACAUUUUCAUUUUAAAGGAUAAAAAAAGAAUGUAUUAAUAAGUACCCCUUUGAGCGCAUCAAAUACAAUAUCAAAAGCAAGCUAUGCAAUGUAAUAAACAUACAUAUUAAAUGAAUGUGUGCACGGAUAUCUUGUGUGUGUGCUCAAUAUUUCAUAUUUAUUCAAACCCAGAAAUAGUCUCCGCCAGUCCUCACUGUUUGACAUUUUGGGAUUUGGACACUCUCUCCAGACGUCCUUUUGCUGGAGACAUGAGCAAUAGCAAUGCCACAUUUUCACGCCUUUUGCCUCAGCGGCCAUCUUUUUGAAAUGAGUCAUACUUUCCCGCGGUUGAUUCUCGCCGUGGCUGUUGUAGCAGUCCAGGCUGCGACAACUGAUCGGGCUUCUGAAGCCAUUUCUACCGGCUUGUGAGCCAAGGAGUCGCACUAGUCUGCCAAUUAUUGACAUGACAUCUUCUCCUUGAGGUGAGAGGCCUUGACUGUCUGUGCCAACUCACUUCACAGUAGAGAGUUCACACUUUCUGGCCUCUCUUUCCCGUAGCUGCACCACAUGCAGAUAUCUGGAGCUUGAGGGCUUUCCUGCAAACGGCGAUGAUAACUAGUGCAGUCCUGCACUUGGAGGCUGAUCAAGGAGGGGAGGCUCUCCAGCUCCCCGCCAAGCAACCGAAACAAUGCUUCUUGUGUUCGAGGAAAAGUAGCGUUGAAGUUAAUGAAUUGAUUCAAUAUUAGUAAACCACAUAGUUAGAAAGUCCUUAUUCCACUGCUGCGUACGUGUUGAAACUUUAAAGCAUGCUACAGAUUAGCAGGAGCUAACAGCCCCCCCCCAAUCACCCCCCCCUCUCCCCCACACACACACACGGCCACACAUUCAAUUCCCAGCGUGACUGGAGCUCCCACUGUGUGAGCACACGGAUAUAGUCACAAAAAACACUCCUGUCUGAAAGCCACGAUAGUCUGGUGUAUGGCAAUUUUCUCCCAAAUGGGGGAGUCAAACUUAAUUAUAUGUUGUGGAUCAUACCAGACAAAGAUAGAAAAUACUCUGUCAUCCAGAGAAAAUACCGGGGGGAAAUAUAUAUGCGUAUUACAUCCAGUCAUCUGCAAUGUCUUUGUGAAGGCACAAAGAGUUUGAGCUGACUCCCCAUGUGUCAGCAAGCCUGCAACUAGUGUCAAAUGUGUCACUAUCAACACUUGCUCUACCGAGGGGGUUCUGGAUAAACGACCAAGAGUUGUCUCCUGGUUAAAGUCCUCGGUCUAAAGACAUGCUUGCUGAGUUAAACGGUUAUCAUAAGUGAAUAAUAAUAGUCAAUAUUAAUAUGUCAGUCCAAGUGUCAUUACUUUCCAGGGUUUUUGUGUAGCUGAGUUAUUUGAUGGGUUAUUCUACCUGUAACAAUAUUGAGAUAAAAUCAGAUCUGCUGGAGACCAGAUUUGAACUUUGACUCUAUAUAGUUUUAUCUAAUAAAAGCAAUAUGCAGGACUGAAACAGUCUUAAACUCUAGAAGCAGGUAGAGAGACAUGGCGGAGGAAGCCGGAGAACCCGGAGAGAACCCACGCAGACACGGGGAGAACAUGCAGACUCCACACAGAAAGGCCACUGGGCAGAAUCGAACCCAGGACCUUCUUGCUGUGAGGCAACAGUGCUAACCACCACGCCACCGUGCCGCCCCGGGUGUAACAUGUUACACUUAUAUAGUAAUGGUAAUAAUAAUUCCUCAUGUUUGCAUUGUCUUGGAUUGUCUUGCAUUAGCUUAGAUAAUACAUGCAUAAGGCCUUUCAAAGAGGACAUUAAUGUUUGUCAAUAAUUCUGGUAAACUGGUAAAAAAAAAUAGGCAUGUUAGCAUUGUUGAGCUUGUUAGCAUUUAUCUCAAAGAACUUCUAUGUGUCCUCAUACGCACUUGUCACAUCGAUAUUUCAGUAAUAAAUAUGCAGUACAGUACAUCUAAGGUGAUACACUGAAGCAGUGAUUCUCAAAUCGGGACAUGUGGAACUCGGCCUGGAAGUCACAGUGUUGCUUGCAGCUAAUUGAUGGUAUGAGUUGCGUUGUCCUGUGGGUAUCCUGUGUUUAGAUGGUGCACAUCUUUUUAACACAUGUCAAACUUAUUUGUAAGUGAAUAAAUUAUCUAAAGUGCUCUGAGCUCUAAAAUGAACCCUUUGAAUAACAAUGUAGGAACAGCUGCAAAUCUGUGUCAUCUCCUCAGUCAUAUGGUAGCUUACACACUGCAUAUACAAGCCGAUGAUAAGAAACAGUGAAGAUGUGAAAUCAGUCAGAGCAAAAUAUGCCAGCGACCAACACGUGUGAGACAUCUAAGAUUCAGAAAGAUCUCCCACAUUUUACUGCAUUAUUCACCAUCCGCCUACAUGGAGAUUAGUUCUGCUCCUUUAUGUAGGUCAUGUUAUUGGAUGAUGAGAUGACAUUUAGUGCUCAUAACUUAAGCAGGCUGGUUGCUUUACAUCCUGUGCCUUUGUCCACACUGUGUUGUUGCCUUCACGUCAAUGAAAAACUGUGGGACAUUCACUCGUACACAAAGCCAUAUUGCCUCUAGCUACAUCUAUGAUACUGGUAUUGAUGAUGUCAUCGUGGCCCUUUUUCUGAAGCACUGACUGUCAUUAAUUAGACCGUGGCACUGCAGUUCGCUCUGUGUUCCCAUGGUAACAAUGUGUGGUGUCUACUUUCCCCCUACCGAGGCAGCUUUGUCCAUCAAGCCAAGGGUUUCCAUUUUCUUCAGCUCCAGGAGAUUUUUCAUGCACACCUUUUUUGUCUGCAUAAUAUUUAUAACGCAGUAAGCGUCCUUUCUCGCUGUUGGCUUUGAUUCGUCAUUAUAAUAACCUCAACCUUCUUAACACGUUGUAUACGCCAGUUUACACCAUUUACAGCAACACAGUUGCGAGAUGUUGGCAUCUUACGUUUCUACCAGCCAGCAAUGUUGUAUCUCGGGUUUCUACACACAUGUCGUAAAAUAAUCCACAGUGGACAAUUAGGAGGAUUAAAGCCCUAACUGAAAAAAAUCGGCACACAAUAAAAUAUUGAACUGGGUAGACUGGUAUUUCUGAUGACGAAUGCUUCCCACUCCUGAGCUCUGUCUUCUCCCAGAGAGGUAAGAGUAUUGAGGUGGAAAUUUGUGGAGUGUUUAAAAAAAAAAAGUGUAAAAAGUGUUAAAAACAAAAAGAUGCAAAUCCCAUAAAUGGGGAUAACUGGGUUUCCUGUUAUGAUAACACUGAGGCAUCGUACAUUGAAGAGGUCACAAAGGAACCAAGACAACUAACAGUAUGCAUAGAAAACAUUUUCCCCAACAAGUAUCACACCAACAGUAGACGUUAUUCCUGCAGCAACUCAAGACAGUAAUGGGAUGGUGUCCCACAUUUCCGACGCACCCGUUAUUCAGUGUGUUCUCACUGUGGGAGCUGGGACGUAACACAAUGUUCAGGUCAAUGGCAUUUUCCCCCCCGUAAUUCACACACGGAGCAACACCAACAAACAACUUCGGAAAUGAUCCAACAGCAGAGAGAAGAGGGGUGGGGCUGAUAUAUCCUCCACUACAACAGGGUUCCUUUGAGUAGCCAAUGGGAAAAUGCAUGGUACCGGUCGGUAAAGAAAAACAAAUCGUCAUCAAACUCCUCCUCUGCACUGCUUUUCAAGCGAGCGCUGUCCAUCUCGACCGCAAAGCAGCUCAUACUAAUGCCCCCCCCCCCCCUCGGAGCAACAGCUGAACCCUCGCACUCAAUGAGCUCUGCCCGCUGGAUGACCUGCUGUGUACCUAGUGAGGGGAAGAAACGGAUGCUCUUCAUAACUGCACUUAAGUACACAACCUGAACCAUGCUUUUGUAUUUUUUUUUUUUUGCUUAAACUGCGAUCCAAAUAGUCAGUCAUCUUCUGAAAACAUAAAAUAUGAGGGGAAUUAUUGAAGACAUUUAAGAGAAAGGACAAGAAAUAAAAGCUUGAUUCGAGUUACAUUUAUGCAUCCAAUCUUUUUACUGGGCUGUGAACUUUUUAAUGUGUUUUUUUUCACUUAUUCUGAGUUUACUUUACAUCCUUUAACCCUACAGUGUUUGUCGGGGAUUUUUCUGAAGCUUUAACCGCAGUGCCUCGUGAUUACACAUUCACCACACGGCACAGACUCGUCGUUGGUGUCCACAUGCUUUCAUGCUUUCAGCAAUUUUUAAAUGAAUCACCAAAUUAUUCCUGGACUGUUAUUGUAUGCUGCUGCUGCUUAGGAAAAAGAUGCAAUUACCUAAGGCAGUGUGUGAGAAAAUAUGUGGGUCACAAUUCUAGGGCACGGGUGGAAAGGCCAAAGCCGCUCUGUCUUUGUACAGCUGUCUCCGAAUCAGAUCGGGGGUUACUUCUUUUAUUAAAUUCCUAGCUUUGGAAGAGUGCUGAUUCCUUUUACGACGCCUCAGAGAAACAUUUUGAUCUGAUAACCAGAAUAAUAUUAUUUUUUAUUGAAUCCGUCAGUGGGUAAGUAUUCGUUGAAACCCAAACCACAAGCAGCCACUCAGAGUCAGUGCACAAAACAAACUCUGAAAUGAUCUCAACCAGCCUUCUGCGAGCAGUCCACGGAAAAAAUGAUCUUAUGCCUCCAUUCCUAUCUAUUGCUAUUUCAUUUUCCCUCUUAUGAAAGGGUGCAGUCCGUAUUUUCAAAGCUCCCUUUUGAAAGCACACACAUCUCAAGAAAUGCAGGUUUCUUUUUUAUAGAGGAAGACGGCUUGAAAAGGUAAAAAGAAAUUGCUGAAUAUAAAAUUGCACCUGGACCAAAUAUCCAUUCUGUCUAAUUUUAAUCCACUGAAAGCAAAAGCGCACAACUGUAAAUUCUCAGAUUCAGCCACAACAGCCACACAUUAACUUUUCAGAUGUUUUGGGAGUUAAUUAAGAUUUUAAUUGAGCUAUAGAACAAUAUCAUCUGCUGAUGGCCUCUUUCUGUUCGGAGUUGAUAUUUAAUCACAAUGCCUGACUAAGACAGCGGGUUUAUAACUUCUACAUUUUUAAUGAUAAAAGGUUUGCUCAUUAGUUGUCUAAAAAGAAAAAUAAUCACAUUGACUAGUUUUCAAAUCCGCUGAUUGUUGAAACACUCAGUUAAUCGCUAAUUACAGUAGCAAAAUACAGGUAAUUUGCAUGAUUGAGAAGACCUCAAUCUUGUUGAGUGCGCACAUUAUUCACCUCAUGCUACCUGGGAAGCGGAUUGCUGUAGUAAUUGUAGAGAUCAUCACAAGAUGAGACGAUAGAAUCCACGUUGUGGCAUCAGAAACUAGCGUGUAACAGAGUUUUGUGACGAAAUAAGAGAAAGCGAUGCAACUGUAAUGAAGAACUAUGUCGGUUAUUACAAAAAUUUGACAAGACUAGAAGACUAGAUGUAAUCACAUGAUGAGAAUCUCUGAGUUUCCGCUUCAGUGUCCCGAACAAUCAGGUUUUGCUUAUCGCCACACAGACUGCCGAUAAUGAACAUCAGAGGAAUGAGGAGCGCUCCUUCCAUUUCAGCUUCGGACCUGACAUGCUCAUUCUGCACGGCCUUCUGCUGCGUCCUCUCCACAAACAUAAAACGCCAUUGUAAUGCCCAUGCAGCCAACACCCAGAGAUCUCAAUCAAAUCUAGGUCACACACACACAUAUUGUGAAACCCUUUUUUUUUUCUCCAUCUUAAAUACAAAGUGUGGCCACUCCCAAAUCUUGAAAGUGAUCUUUUGUUGGGAAAGACGGAUACAAACACAUGUGAACAGCUUAAUAAAAGUAAAAACAGACUGUGCAGUAGUCAACGGAGAACUCAAAUAGUGGCCGAAAUAAUUUUACCUGAUGCAUUGUGUAUGAUCCUUAAAAUGUGGAUAACUACCUCAGAAGCCAAAACAAAACAUUUCCUGUCACCUUUGCCUGAACAGAGAUCUUAGUGAACCACUGCGGCUACUCUGCAAAGCUUUCACCCAUUAUGCUUAUCUUGGAUAAAGUCACUCGUUUCACCCAACUAAUAUGAAGAGAGGAAAAAAAUCAAAAUAAUGUGAUAAGCAUCGAGCCCUCGUGAAGGCGCAUAAAAAAAAGCAGCUAAAUGUCUUAAUCGUGCCCUGAUGGACCUGAGCCUGAAGCUACUGAGGACAAUGACUGUGUGCUUUGGAGCAAGAGAUCAGCGGCAGCAGCAAGGACGAUGACGUCUGUAGAGGCGGUUAUAUAACUGGAGCUGAACAUUUUGUCUGUCAUAGUUACAAGGUUAAAGAGGGAGACGUGAAUACCUUAGUCCCAAAAGUCAUGUGCAACGCAGCUCCACCGGCCGAGUUCACAGAGUCUGACAUCGGGCAGUACGGGUCAGAAGAAAUGUGCAUGUUUGAUGUUAUUAAUCAGCAUGUCUGCCUCUUUAGACUCAUGGCUUCUCUCAGGGCUUCAGUGCUCCUCACCGUUGAUAUAUUCAAAAAAUGUCAACUAGUGUGAAUCUCAUCCAAUCUAUUUAUUUUAGAGUUCGAGCUACAUCAAGUGCUCUCGCCUGAAGUUAGCUGGGAUAGACUCCAGCCCCCCCCGCGAGCCUGUGAACCAGCAGUGUGAAGAUGGAUGGAUGGCUGGACUACAUCGAGUGUGACACAAAUGUUAUGUUAUGAGAUGCCGUGACUCCCGGUUUUAUAACCAUACGGAUACUAGAAAUACAUUAUCAGAAACCUUGACGAAAAAUCCAUACCGGAUCAAUUAUUUUGAUAAAAGCAAAGCUAUUUGUAACCACUGCAAUCCGGAAAUGUAUCUUAUCACUGAAAUACUACAAGCUUGAAGUACCAGGAGCCUGAAGUACUAUGAGCCUGAAGUACCACUUUGAGCCUUACACAGCAUUGAGGCAGCCCACCAGCUCCCCAAAAACAACCAGCGCAACGAGAUUCCGGCAGACUACUUUGGACGCGGUGUGCAGGAGAACCGUCGACAAACCAUCGCUAGAAGAAUGAAGCGUCCUUAGA
ensembl:lncRNA